rnacentral:lncRNA from 1 species
GUGCUUAAUUUAAAAGGGAUGGUUUGGGCAAGAUACCUGUUUGCUGGAAACCAAAAUCAGGGACAUCUGGCAUUCAUUGACUUUUAAAAGCAAAGAGAUGACACAACUAAAAUGCAGAUAGAGAGGAUUUUCAGCUACUUUGGGGGGGAUGUUGUUUUAGUACAGUGAACUCAGAUUUGUUCUACUUGCUCCUAGCUCUUGCUCUGGGUAUAGUCUGGACUGAACCACUUGUUUAAUUAUAUACCACUGAAAAACUAUCUUUGCUUCAUAAAAUGUUUGGGUUCUUUUUUCUGUCUAUGUUCAUCUGCACAGGAUGGCUGCUCUAAGGCCUGAAGACACUUCUAGAGCCAUCCCCUGAGUCACCAAACUCCACCUUUCCACCAGAAAAAGCUUUUGCAUCAUCUCCAGAGCCAGGAGCUGCUGCCUCACACCGGAGCACUCUGGAUCUGUCUCCCAUAAAUUCAGUGUCUGCCCAGCAACAUCCUGCCCUGAAGGAGAGAAGUUCCCAGCCCCUGGCAAGGAUCAACAUCAAGAACAUGUCCCACAGAGACAAGGCCACACAGCAGCUUCCAUGUGUCAGCAUUCCCCCUGAGUCCUUCCAACAGGCAGCCCAAAUUCAGCUCCUCACACACACAGUUACGGUAAGCUAAUAUUCAAACAAAAACAGUGGAAAAAUCACCUUUAUGUACCUCUCCUUGGCAUUAUCUUAGCCUUUCCUGGGUCAGUGUGGGACUUUUGCCUCUCUUUGCUUCUAGACCUAUUUUUUCCCUUUGCCAAUCUAAUUAUGAGUGUCCCAGCUGAGAUACUUUUCCAUUUCCUUCAUUUGCUAGGCAACCAAAUGUCUGUACAUUUCCAUAGGGGUCUGUAAAUAUCUCACAGUACAUUCUUCUAAUUAGAAAACAAUGUCUGCAGUUGUGUUUACAUUGCUAUGCUUAUUAGGAAGAAAAUGCUGGGCUGGUUUUGUGUUAUGUGCAACCUGAGAUUGUACAUUUGUGUGCUGUUCAGAGGAGUAUUUAAUUGGUUUUUAAGAAAUGUAUCUUGGGGGUUUCUUGGUUUCUGAAUCAACACAGAGACAGACAGAGAGUUUACAGCUAGUUAUUGUAUGAAAUUACAGAUCACAUGUUCCUGUGAACUUUCCCUGAGUUUAUUCAACUCAAAAAAUGCAAAUUGAGUUAAGGAGGCAAAACUGCAUGGCUUCAGCAAUGAGCUAUCUCCUUGGGAGGCACAACUUGUGAUCAGGCAGUAACUAUUGGGGCAGCUGGGCAGAACUAAUAAUAAAUAUCUCAAGGUUAAUAUCUGUACA